rnacentral:tRNA from 1 species
AGAGAAAUAGCUCAAAUAGUAGAGUGCAUGCCUAGCAUGCGUGGGAUCCUGGGUUCAAUACCCAGUACCUCCA